rnacentral:lncRNA from 1 species
CUUCUCUAUAAUCCACUGCCAUGGAAUGAGUGAUUUUUCUUAGAAGCAGAGGUGGAGCCACUGAGGAAGCACAGGCGAGCCCUCCCCAGCACGUGAUCACUGGUCCCCAACAGAACAACCGCUGCCGCAUCCAUGAGGCUCCCAUUGUGGUGGGUUGUGUCACCCCACAAUGUUACUGUUGCUGAGCCCCCAUCGCCUCUGUGUUGUGGAGCAGUUAGAGACACACUGUGGUGUCUGAGUGGCUCUGCAUGAAGGACCGUUUUCUAGGUGAGAGGCACAUCUCAACACAGCUGACUGAUCAGACUCAGCCAUUUUGCACACCCUGGUCAGAAUGAAACAUUCCUUGGGAACUCGGGCCGUGAGAAGCAUCCUUCCUGAUCACCUGACUGUAGAAACAUCCUUAUCGCACCCUCCCGGGCAAAGGCCCAACAGCCUGACUGCAGGAACAUCCUUGCCAUAUCCUGCCGGGCAGCAAGCUCUACAGCCCAGACCCCUCCUUCCCAGUCCCAUGAUCACCCCAGCCUGUGAGAGGCAGUUGGUGCUGGCAGUAAGCUGGUUUCCUCCUCUGCAGGGUUUUGCUAGUAAUAAAGGUGUUGCUGUUGAAGCCGCCAACUGUCUUUCUCUGUCUUUCUUUAACCCUCGCCUUGCCUUCAAAAUCUAACAAUAGCUCUACCUCUCCAUUUUACCAAGGAGGAUAUGAGACUCAAGGAGAGCAAGAGACUUACCCAGAAUUA